CUUGAGUUCUUGAAUUCCGAAUCCAUUAUUUCUUCUUAUCAACAAAUAUGUCCCACCAUACCCACCUUAUUUUAAAGGCUCGAGCAUCGUGGCACUAUAAAUAGGACAAGAGGAGGGCAGAGCGAAAACGCACUACCUCAUACUUGCACAGGUACGUUGUGAUAGAAAGCUCAGUGGUAAGCGAUGGCUGGAGGAGGCAAAAGAGGUGAAGCGUCGUCUCUUCUACUUGUGACGCUGCUCGUGACGUUGUUGGCCUUCUUCGCCACCGACUCCUCGGCAGCCCGUGUCACACCCCGUCCGCAAUCCCUCGCCGGAGCGGUACUGAGUGCGUUGGGGGCAAGGGCAGAUGGGCCGUGCUGCACAUGCAUCUGUCCUCUCAUUUACCCACCUCCUUUUUGCGUUUGCGGCGGCGUAUGGCAAGGCUCCUGCCCUUCCGCCUGCACAAACUGCGAGUGUGUCCUCAACGAGUGCACUUGCCUCGAUCACGUGGACUACAAGGCCUGCGAGGCCGACUCCUGUGGCUGGCUUGAUGCAGCCCCCAAACUAGAGCCGUCGCAGCAGUGGGCGAUCGAAGAAGCCGGUGGGAAAUUAGGGAUGAUGGUGUGAUCCGAUUGUGUUUGUGUUCGCCUGUUAUUUCUGUUGUCCUGUCUCUCUCCGUCCUAUCUAUCCAUCCAUCUAUGUCGUGUGUUGUUGCUUUGCUUCAGUAAUAAAAUGCUUCUGCUUUUAUCGUGA